CAGCAGCCGCGGGAAUACGUAGGGUGCGAGCGUUAAUCGGAAUUACUGGGCAUAAAGCGUGCGCAGGCGGUUCGUUAAGACAGAUGUGAAAUCCCCGGGCUUAACCUGGGAACUGCAUUUGUGACUGGCGAGCUAGAGUAUGGCAGAGGGGGGUAGAAUUCCACGUGUAGCAGUGAAAUGCGUAGAGAUGUGGAGGAAUACCGAUGGCGAAGGCAGCCCCCUGGGCCAAUACUGACGCUCAUGCACGAAAGCGUGGGGAGCAAACAGGAUUAGAUACCCCUGUAGUCCCUGUCUCUUAUAC
rnacentral:rRNA from 1 species